GCGAAAACCAAAACCGGAACUUCAAAAAUCUUGUAGUUUGCCGGAAGUAAACUUAAUAAAAAUGCUGACUCUGCAUCUUUUUUUGCAAGGAGUGAACUUUAAGAAUUUCUCGAAAGAAAUAAUGUUUUACAUGCAAGAUAAACAUUAAUUCGUUCUGGUUAUUUCACCAUUAAAUGUUUUAAUGAUUGACCAAAUCAGAAAACUAAAGGAUCAUCUAAAUGUUUCAAUUAUGAAAGCUGUUCAAGUUGAUGAAUCGAAGGAUACAAAUAUGUGUAGUUUGGGAGAGUCAUUGUAUACGGACAGCAAUCAAUUUGAAUUUUUAUUAUAAUCGACGAAAUAUACAGACAAUUUAAAAGCGAUUGUUGUGGACGAAGCCCAAUCUUAUUAGUGAAUGGUGAGUGAGUGAUACUGAUAUAUUUGGUUGUUUCUCAAUAUUCUUUCUUUGCUAUAUUAAUGGUUAUCUGCAAG